GGCAACGCUGGUUCUACCCUUCAGAGAAAGCGCGAGACUCGUCUUUAUAGACUCGUUUUUAGUUGUCUUCAUCACAAAAUAUCCCCCCAAAAAAGGGGGUAUGUUCUGUGGUCUUCAUCUACGGGCUUUAUCUAUGCGCCUAUGUGGCCUUGUUCCGUGUUCAUGUGAUUCGUCCUUUGCCGUUAAUUAAAUAUGGUUAGUUGUGUAUCUUGUGGUUGUUCCCUAACACCAAAACAUAAAACUUGUGGUGUAACAUUUCACAGUUUUCCGAAAGAUCCAAACAGGAGAACAAAAUGGAUACAGUUUGUGAAUAAGUUUGAAUUUAUUCCAAAACGCAGCAGUGUCUUAUGUUCGCAUCAUUUUGCUGACGACUGUUUUGAUCGUUCGUCUAAGCUGCAAGUGAGACUGCUAGCCAACGCCAUUCCAACAAUUGAAGUGGACCGGUUAAAAUAUGUAAGGUCGUUUAAUCCGAUAACAAAAACACAAUCGACAGACAAUAAUGUAGCUUCUAUAUCCGGACCAUCCGUGAGAGAACAGACUCCUUCGCCAGACCCAGAAUUUUUACGACAAGAAGUUACACCCCGUAAAAGUCAAUUAAGAAGGAAAAUUAGUGACCUGCAAAAAAACAAUAUUUUGAAGAGCCGUAAAAUACGAAAGUUGCAGAAGGAGAUCUGGCGACAGAAAAAACAAAUUUCUUCACUAAAGGCAAUGACAGUGGAGUUGAAAAAAAGAAAUUUAUUAUUAGACCCCAGAUAGCAUUUGAUAUUCUACGAAUAUCCCAGAAUGUUCAAAAAGUAUACAGAACAUUGCAGGAAUAUCCUGGGAAUAUACACGGGUGAACAUUCCUAACAUGAAUGUUCGUGGAAUAUACAUGCAUGUAUAUUCAUCAAAGUUCAUAAAAGGUAUAUCCUAAGUAUGUACAUAUAUGUACAAAUUGUGUAUAUGUGCAGACGAACAUGCCAGGUAUGUACAUAUUGUGUAUAUAUGCAGGUGAAUAUACCUAGUAUGUUCAAAACAAAUAUUCCGGUAAUAUACAUGAAUGUAUGUGUAUAUCAACGGUUUAUUCCAAAUUGGUUGAAUAUAAAUUUUGCGUGCCCGCAGCAGAAAAGUAAGGGCACGUACAAGUAAAUUAUUUAAUGAUUUUCCGUAUUGAAAAUUCACAUUUCUCUGUCUACGUCAAUACUAAUGAUAGAAAAAUACUUGUGCCCCAGGAAUAUGCAUGUACAUCACAUGAAUGUUCCAGGUAUAUUCUGGGAAUAUCAUUUUGCUAUGUGGGAGGAGCAUGAAAAUAUUAUGCUGGAUCAUUUUGGAGUGAGUAAAGUAGAUAUUCAAAGGCUUUUAAAUAAGUUUGAAAAUCAAAGUUAAAAAAAACAUAUGAACAUUCUGUUCGAGCUUUUGCUGUCACUUUGCACUUUUUUUCACCAAACGCAUAUGCUUAUGUUCGGCAAAAUUUCAAAAUUGCUUGCCUCACCCAAAUACAUUGGCUUAGUGGUAUUGUUAAGUAGAUGCCGAGCCAGUGUUUACUUCAGAAGCUCUUAACUUUUUAAAACUAAAAGUUAAAAAUUCUGAGGAACAAAAAUUAUUUGUUCUUUGGUUUUUGACGAAAUCUCCAUUAGAAAACACUUGGAAUAUGCUGGUAGUGAAUAUUAUGGAUAUGUGAAUUGUGGUAAUGGUUUGCAGCGGGACUAUAUGAAGUUAGCCACUGAAGUUGUGGUAUUCAUGCUGGUCUGCGUGAAUGAAGCAUGGAAUAUACCAAUAGCUUAUUUUUUUAUUGCAGGCAUUAAUAGCCAACAAAAAGUCUCCCUAGUGAAACCGGCUCUAGCGCUAUUAGAACAAGUCGGAGUUACUGUUAGUAACAUUACUUUUGAUGGGUGUGCAGCUAACUUUACGCACAGCGGCAACGCAGCUUCCAGCGUUUUCGGGACGCCUAGCUCGAUACUUCGAGAACGAACG